rfam:Siansivirga zeaxanthinifaciens CC-SAMT-1, complete genome.
CUUUGGCAGGCGCGUUAGGGAUGGUAAUGGCAUCCUUUUUUGGGACUUUUAUACCUUUUCUUUAUUUUUUGUAAUGGCUAUUGUUUUAAAAACAAAGCUACUCAUUAUAACACAAACCCUAAAAAAGAUAUAAUGGACAGCCCGACCUACC